CAAAGAAAUAUGCACUGAGUCACAUAUUCUAAGAAAUAGACUGUACUCUACUCAAAUCGAAAUAACGGCACUUUAAUUCUUGGAUUUUCCACAUUUUCGUUGGUAAAGCUCCUAUUUGCUUUCUCUGAAUCUGUAUCAGUUCAUGCAGUUCUGCCAAGUGGGGAAGCUUUGCAGGACACUGCUACUGUAGCACUUGAAAUAUUAAGAUGAACAGAACAAGCAAAAGGUGGGAAAACUGGAAAGAUUGAAUGUCCUUUGGAGUUCACAAAGGUUUGGCAGUGGGAUGAGAAAAACAAAACGAAGCAUAGUGGGAGUGUUGAACAGACUUUCCCAAGAUCCCCAGGAGUCUAUGAUGCUGCUCAAACCAAUAGCUAUACUGCAAGAAAUGACAACUUCAUCUCUCAGAAAACCACAGAUCAGAUGCAGAAAAGUAAUCCUUGGAUAAAUUAUAUCAUGGGAGAUACAUAGCUCAGCUACAAAGUCCAGUGAGGCAACAGACCGAAACAGAAAGAGUCAUGGGAAAACUUGAUGCUGAAAUUAGAAUUCCUAGCAUUGACUGUUACUUCUGUGGGGGCUGGAGCUGAUGCCUCUUGGAUUGACAGAGCUUAUUUAUUUAAAAUGUACUUUCAGC